ACCAAGAUGCAAUUUCAAGGCUAGCAAAUUUAACAACAACAACAAAAAACCUUUGGUAUCAUUUUUUUCCCUUGCACAUGCUCAUAUAUAUCCAACUGUCCCAAAAUAUCAGGUUUUUUUGUUGACUUGUUCAAAUUAAAGCCAAACAAGGAGCAAAAAGCAUAUCUACUUGUGAUGAUAUAUUCCGAUCUUUCAUACUACCGAAACAAUGUUUUGUUCUAUUUUACUAACAGACUUUCCAAAAUCAUGAGUUGACCAUUGCAUUUUAUCAGAGGAUGUGUGAUUUGCUUUUUUUAACCUUUAUUUUCUUCUUUAAUAUUUUAAUGCAGUAAAUUCCUCAAAUAGAUUUUCUAAAGAUAAAUUACCUUUGAGAUAAAAUCAUAUAUAACAGGAAAUGGUCAUUUUUCUUAUUUUUCUUAGUACUUUAUCUUCUAAUUUAUGAGUCAAAUUGCUGGUGAUUUUUCACUUCUCAUGUUAUCUUUUGAUACAGAGGACAACAAAGAAGUCCAAAAAUGAGUUAGAAAUGUUAACCUCAAUAUUUUAUAAGACUGCUUUCAUUCACGUUCCUAAUAAAAAAAUAGAAGUUGGAGUUAAAUUUUAAAAUCUUAUAUCUGUUGUUGAAUUUUCAAAUUUUAGUGAAAUUACCUUAUAUUAAAUGAGAAAUAACAUAUGGUCAAUGUUCACGGGAAAGUCUUGGAUGGGGGUCUGGGGGCAAACUGAUCCAUGGGCCAAAUUUGGCUCAGCACCUAUUUUUAUUAAAAGUUUAAUUGGAAAACACUUAAGCCCCUUCAUUUACACAUUAGAGCUGCAUUCACACUACAGAGGGGGAGUAGUAAUUGCAUCAGACACUACCGUUUGCAAAGUCUAUAUUAUUAAUAUAUUGCCCUUUACAGAAAGUUGGUUGACCUCUGAUACUGAUAAUCAAAAUGCUCAUGCAGAGUCCAAACAUUUAUAAUAACCACUAAGGAGGCUGUAUAUAGGGUUAUUCAGAGAGGUGAAUCGUAUAAUAUCAAAUUAAAUUCCCGCAUAUCUUUUGUGAUAAUUUUACAAUUCUUUUCAUUCCCAGGUUUACACCUAUCUGCACUUUCUGGUCUAUUUUAUUGAGUGAUUAAGAGGCCACAAUUAUCUAUCAAGGCUAAAUGACAAUAUUUUCAAAUGUUUCCAGUUAAGCUUAGAAAUGAUAGUUUCACCAUAAAGGAAGUAAUUUCAUGACAUUCCUGCAAACUGGAAAUCUCUUCAGUAUUUUAUUAUAAGUUCUCAUCUUUGCUUUUCGGCAGAUUAUAAAUGAGUCUCUCAAUUAAGUAUAGUACAUGAAUAUUAGGAAGAAUUUGGCUCAACUAAUCACAAUUAUAGGCUUUCUUUUUAAGAAAAUUCGUUAUAAAAAUUUAGUAUAUUUUUGAGUGAUCUUCUGUGUGUGUGUGUGUGUGUGUGUGUGUGUGUGUGUGCGUGCGCGCGCGCUUAUUAGGGUUGCACCCGCAGCAUUUGGAGGUUUAUAGGCUAGGGAUUGAAUAGGAUCUACAGCUGCAGGACACAACCACGGCCAUACCAUGUCAGAUCCAAGCCAUGUGCAACCUACACCACAGUGCAAUGGCAAUGCCAUAUCCUUAACCCACUGAGCAAGGCCAGGAAUAGAACCCUCAACCUCGUGGUUCCUGGUCAGAUUCAUUUCUGCUGUGCCACAACAGGAACUCCUAUAAUCUUCAUUAUUAUUUCAAAAACCUAGAAGAAAAAAGUACAAUCUUCAAAGACUAAACCAAGAUGAAAUAGAAAAGAUGAAUGCACCAAUCACAAGAACUGAAAUCGAAACUGUUAUUAACAAACUUCCAACAAACAAAGUCCAGGAUCAGAUGGCUUCAGAGGUGAAGUCUAUCAAACAUUUAGAGAAGAGCUAACACCUCUCCUUCUGAAACUAUUUUAAAAAAUUGCAGAGGAAGGGACACUCCCAAACUCAUUCUAUGAGGCCACCGUCACCCUGAUACCAAAACCAGACAACGAUACCACAAAAAAAAAACAAAAAAAAAAACAAAAAAAACUACAGGACAAUUUCACUGAUGAACAUCGAUGCAAAAAUCCUCAACAAAAUAUUAGCAAACCAUAUCCAACAAUACACUACAAGGAUUGUACAUCUUGAUCAAGUGGGAUUUAUCCCAGGGAUGCAAGGGUUCUUCAACAUCCACAAAUCCAUCAGUGUGAUACACCACAUUAACAAACUGAAGAAUAAAAACCAUACGAUCCUCUCAAUAGAU
rnacentral:lncRNA from 1 species